GGGAGCUUACUUCCACGCGCUGCAGGGGCGCGCCAACGGCAGUUGGUCUCUGAGGCCGCUACAGUUUCUCUCUGGAGGUCCUGCCUGUUUGCGGCGCGAUGCCUCUGGAUCCUCAGGUAGCCAUGGGGGACGUUGGCAAUCAGGACAUCCUGGCCAUCUUCUACCGCCUGCGCUUUGUGCUUAGCAACCACAUAGCGGCCGCCUGGCGAGCUCGGAACCCCGCAGCCGACGUGGGAGGAGGAGGAGGAGAAGCCGCCCCGUUGGUUAACCGUCGUAUUCGCCCACGCGGGUUCUGACUGGGCGGACUGCUCGUCUACGUCCCAGAAUGCCUGGCAUAGGAUAUGAUUGUAAAUAUUUAGCUCUACAAAAAGAAAUGUCAUUUACAUACAAAAGGAAGACCUGAUUUAUUGGUUAAGUAAAUACAACAGAAUGCAUCCUAGAUUCCAGGUCUGCCUGAUGGAGGACCUACCUUGAAACCAUUAAUUCCCCAGUAAUCAACACAUGGAAUGGGGUACCAGUGAUGAAAAAAGAACACAUUUAGCACCCUUUCAAGACUCCUUCCCAGACAUCUGAUGAGGACCAAGACUGGGUCCUUAGCAAUGGAACAUGUCACUUUCUCGGUUCUGCUUCUGUUGAGAGGCCUUGCUCAAAUCCCUUUCUUCAGCUCAUUGAAACCAGCAGGACAAAAGCACUGCGCCUGCCACAAAGGAAGCUGGGCCACGCCUUUGAAGAAGGCUUUCACACCUGUCUUACAGUCUUUCCAUGGAUGGGGUGUUUUGACUGCAGUGCCAAAAGUCACACUUGGACAAGAAUAACCUACAGGAUGUGUCUCUUCAUCAAUUGCUUGGAGUCACGUGGUGUUCACUAGAGUUUUAUCUGUACAUCAAUGACCCCAUGAAGUUAAGAGACUUUUGUAGCUGGGAUGACAGUGACAACUACUACUGGAAGAAGAAUGAGACACCUAGACCACUGUGAAGAAGCACAUGCUUUCAGCAAUGAGAGCUACAGGACCAGGAAGCCAGAACUACAGACUGAAGUGCCUUCUGCACCCUCCUUUCCAGCACUCAGUUCACACCCAGAGUGGCUGGCAGGUGAUGUGUGCAGUGUGCAGAGAAGCAGUUAGGGCCAGGACAUAAGCCUUGCUGGUCUGCUACUGCCUGGACUACAGUCAGGCAGGGCUGAGCAGGAGCCACCAGGAGCUUUCAUGCUUGGCUCUAGCUUUCAGUAAGUGGUUCUUUAAAUCAAAGACAGAAAGAAAGCUCAUAAAAGCUACCAUUCCUCAAAGCCAAAGCAGGCCCUAUAACCUGUGUGAUAGUGUCUGUAGCCUGCACAAGUCUGUUUCUCACACACAGAUGAGGAAGGCCACUUCCUGACCAUCACACGUACAGAUGCAGACACCAUCCUCUAGAACCUGGGACCCACCCUCAAACCAGGUGGCACACUGACACUUGCCCUGCAUCA
rnacentral:sRNA from 1 species